UGCACUCACUACUGUAAGUCGCUCUGGAUAAGAGCGUCUGCUAAAUUACAAAUA
rfam:Salmo salar isolate Sally breed double haploid chromosome ssa05, whole genome shotgun sequence.